CAGCAGCCGCGGGAAUACGAAGGGGGCUAGCGUUGUUCGGAAUUACUGGGCGUAAAGGGCGCGUAGGCGGCCAUUCAAGUUAGAUGUGAAAGCCCUGGGCUCAACCUAGGAAUUGCAUUUGAUACUGGCUAUCUUGAGUUCGGGAGAGGUGAGUGGAAUGCCGAGUGUAGAGGUGAAAUUCGUAGAUAUUCGGCGGAACACCAGUGGCGAAGGCGACUCACUGGCCCGAUACUGACGCUGAGGCGCGAAAGCGUGGGGAGCAAACAGGAUUAGAUACCCGUGUAGUCCCUGUCUCUUAUAC
rnacentral:rRNA from 1 species